rnacentral:lncRNA from 1 species
CAGAGGACUUGUAUCGAGACAGUGUAAGUCAACAUAACUCAGUUUGUUUUGCCUUAAUUAAUAUUUUUUCAUUAAUAGACGAUUUUUGUAAACAUUUUGAAGUCCCAUUAAAUUACCCCAAGAUCCCCUGCUGUCUAUCAUUGCAAUAGUCUUAUGAUAGUGCUGCAUCUGCAACUAACAAGUGUACUCAAAUUCCUUUCCACUCUUUUUAUACAGGUUAUUUUACAUUCACAAACAAUGGCUUAACUGAAGGAUAACAGGGCAAGGACUCUCACUUUGAUCUGGGUUUAUAUUGUCCCUAACAAUGUAAGACCUUGAUCCACAGUGUUUCAGAUCAAGUCCCCUGCACUUGCCAGAGCAGUUCAGAUCAAGGGAGAAGCAUUUUUGCAGAAGUAAAGGCAGACUGUUACUUGGCGAUUGAAACAGCAUUCACAGAAAGGGGUUUACAAAUCUCGUCUUGCAAGGAAGCCGAAAGCAGAGAAGACUGAGGUUUCGCGCAGUCGAAAUGCUUCUUACCAAGGAAGUUCCAUAAUUGCUGCAAAAAGGCAACUGUAAGUCAGCCUG